AAACUCCCUUCCCUAUAUUCAGAAAACGAUGCACACCUACUAAAUAUCUUAUAUAAGUUAAAACCGAACACGUUUAUUUACAUAGAGCAGAUGGACAUCUUUAGUCGGUACAUCAAAAUGCCGUAGUUUUCUAUACUCGGCUACACUUCAAAAGAUGACCGACAUCUCCUCCCACAAUCGUAUGCUUAAGGUCCAUCAACCAGUGUCGGCGUCCAAAGGUUCCCUCCUUUGCUAUCCUUCUCCUCGCGGUCAUAUCCAACCGCUCAAACCAUCUAUUAAUCUGAAAUGUUGGUCCCCAAAAGAGGUGAGUACAACCACUCAGCAGGUAAAGGAAUCCAAUAACAACUCAAUGCAUCAUGCAAAUCAUACAUGCAUUGCAGGCGUUACUUACCUUGAAGCC
rnacentral:lncRNA from 1 species